UGAAUUUUUUUUUUUUAAAGAGAUAGGUAGCAUACUACUCGCUUCGUUUAUUUCAUUUAGAAAUAAACUUAGCUGGAAAUGUGAAUCAACUAGAAUUUCAAUUUGGGAUCUCGGAUAUCAAUCAUCAAACCCUUCGCCACUUACGCUAGAGACAGUCAGUCUAUUCCACGAUAAUUAACAUGAGUUUGGAUUAGCUUGGAUUAGAACCUAAU
rnacentral:lncRNA from 1 species